GCCUAGCCGUAAACUUUUAAUUACACCCCCAUCGCCAGGGAACUACGAGCAAAGCUUAAAACCCAAAGGACUUGACGGUACCCCAUAUCCACCUAGAGGAGCCUGUCCUAUAAUCGAUAACCCCCGCUUAACCUCACCAUUUUUAGCUUAUCAGCCUGUAUACCUCCGUCGUCAGCUUACCUCGUGAGCGUAAAUUAGUGAGCUCGAUGCCCUUACGCCAAUACGUCAGGUCAAGGUGCAGCAUAUAAAAUGGGAAGAGAUGGGCUACACUAUCUACAUUAGAUUAAACGAAAAACUAUUUAUGAAACCUAGUUAGAAGGCGGAUUUAGAAGUAAAGGAAGACCAAUAUGCUUCCUUUAACUAGGCACUGGGGUGUGUACACACCGCCCGUCACCCUCUUCAAAGCUUUCAUCUAGUUUUUAACACAACUAAGCACCAUAGAAGAGGCAAGUCGUAACAUGGUAAGUAUACCGGAAGGUGUGCUUGGAAA
rnacentral:rRNA from 1 species